AUGAACGCUGGCGGCGUGCCUAACACAUGCAAGUCGAACGAUGUCCCGUCUUCGGAUUGGGACAUAGUGGCGAACGGGUGAGUAACACGUUGGUGACCUGCCCCGAAGUCGGGGAUAACUCUUCGAAAGGAGGGCUAAUACCUGAUGUGUUUGCACCGUUUAAAAGGGUGCAAGUAAAGCUCCGGCGCUUCGGGAGGGGCCAGCGGCCUAUCAGCUAGUUGGUGAGGUAAUGGCUCACCAAGGCUAAGACGGGUAGGGGGCGUGAGAGCGUGAUCCCCCACAAUGGAACUGAGACACGGUCCAUACUCCUCCGGGAGGCAGCAGUGAGGAAUAUUGCACAAUGGGGGAAACCCUGAUGCAGCAACGCCGCGUGGGUGAAGAAGGCCUUCGGGUCGUAAAACCCUUUUCCAGGGGAAGAGACAGGACGGUACCCUGGGAAUAAGUCCCAGCUAACUACGU
rnacentral:rRNA from 1 species